AGGACGAACGCUGGCGGCGUGCUUAACACAUGCAAGUGGAGCGACGAACCAGGGCUUGCCCUGGGGCAGAGCCGCGAACGGGUGAGUAACACGUGGGUUACCUGCCUCGAUGACCGGGACAACCCGAGGAAACUCGGGCUAAUACCGGAUGUGCCCGCAAGGGGAAAGGAAGCUUCGGCCUCCGCAUCGAGAUGGGCCCGCGGCCCAUUAGCUUGUUGGUGAGGUAACGGCUCACCAAGGCUUCGAUGGGUAGCUGGUCUGAGAGGACGAUCAGCCACACUGGGACUGAGACACGGCCCAGACUCCUACGGGAGGCAGCAGUGGGGAAUCUUGCGCAAUGCGCGAAAGCGUGACGCAGCAACGCCGCGUGGGGGAAGAAGGCUUUCGGGUUGUAAACCCCUUUCAGUUGGGACGAAGCCUCGGCGGUGAAUAGCCGUUCGGGGUGACGGUACCUUCACAAGAAGCACCGGCUAACUACGCGCCAGCAGCCGCGGU
rnacentral:rRNA from 1 species